UACAGAGGUCUCAAGCGUUGUUCGGAUUCAUUGGGCGUAAAGGGCGCGUAGGCGGCUUAUCAAGUCAGGCGUGAAAUUCCCGGGCUCAACCUGGGGGCUGCGCUUGAUACUGAUUGGCUUGAAUGCGGGAGAGGAUAGUGGAAUUCCCAGUGUAAAGGUGAAAUUCGUAGAUAUUGGGAAGAACACCGGUGGCGAAGGCGGCUAUCUGGCCCGUAAUUGACGCUGAGGCGCGAAAGCCAGGGGAGCAAACGGG
rnacentral:rRNA from 1 species